GACGAACGCUGGCGGCGUGCUUAACACAUGCAAGUCGAACGGAAAGGCCCUGCUUUUGUGGGGUGCUCGAGUGGCGAACGGGUGAGUAACACGUGAGUAACCUGCCCUUGACUUUGGGAUAACUUCAGGAAACUGGGGCUAAUACCGGAUAGGAGCUCCUGCUGCAUGGUGGGGGUUGGAAAGUUUCGGCGGUUGGGGAUGGACUCGCGGCUUAUCAGCUUGUUGGUGGGGUAGUGGCUUACCAAGGCUUUGACGGGUAGCCGGCCUGAGAGGGUGACCGGCCACAUUGGGACUGAGAUACGGCCCAGACGCCUACGGGAGGCAGCAGUGGGGAAUAUUGCACAACGGGCGGAGGCCGGAGGCAGCAACGCCGCGUGCGGGAUGACGGCCUUCGGGUUGUAAACCGCUUUCGCCUGUGACGAAGCGUGAGUGACGGUAAUGGGGAAAGAAGCACCGGCUAACUACGU
rnacentral:rRNA from 1 species